rnacentral:rRNA from 1 species
GAAUAUUGGACAAUGGGCGAAAGCCUGAUCCAGCCAUGCCGCGUGUGUGAAGAAGGUCUUCGGAUUGUAAAGCACUUUAAGUUGGGAGGAAGGGCAGUAAGCGAAUACCUUGCUGUUUUGACGUUACCGACAGAAUAAGCACCGGCUAACUCUGUGCCAGCAGCCGCGGUAAUACAGAGGGUGCAAGCGUUAAUCGGAAUUACUGGGCGUAAAGCGCGCGUAGGUGGUUGGUUAAGUUGGAUGUGAAAGCCCCGGGCUCAACCUGGGAACUGCAUCCAAAACUGGCCGACUAGAGUACAGUAGAGGGUGGUGGAAUUUCCUGUGUAGCGGUGAAAUGCGUAGAUAUAGGAAGGAACACCAGUGGCGAAGGCGACCACCUGGACUGAUACUGACACUGAGGUGCGAAAGCGUGGGGAGCAAACAGGA